rnacentral:hammerhead_ribozyme from 1 species
AUCCAGAUGACGAGUUUAAAAUAGGAGGAAAUGCGCAUUGUGGAU